rnacentral:rRNA from 1 species
AGCAGCCGCGGUAAUUCCAGCUCCAAUAGCGUAUAUUAAAGUUGUUGCAGUUAAAAAGCUCGUAGUUGAAUUUCGGGGUCAGUAGGCUGGUCGUGCCACGGGUAUGUACCGGUCUCACUGAUUCCUCCUUCCUGAUGAACCGUAAUGCCAUUAAUUUGGUGUUGCGGGGAAUCUGGACUGUUACUUUGAAAAAAUUAGAGUGUUUAAAGCAGGCUAACGCUUGAAUACAUUAGCAUGGAAUAAUGAAAUAGGACGAUCGAUCCUAUUUUGUUGGUUUCUAGGAUUGACGUAAUGAUUAAUAGGGAUAGUUGGGGGCAUUAGUAUUCAAUUGUCAGAGGUGAAAUUCUUGGAUUUAUUGAAGACUAACUACUGCGAAAGCAUUUGCCAAGGAUGUUUUCAUUAAUCAAGAACGAAAGUUAGGGGAUCGAAGACGAUCAGAUACCGUCGUAGUCUUAACCAUAAACUAUGCCGACUAGGGAUCGGAUGAUGUUAAUUUUUUAAUGACUCAUUCGGCGCCUUA